rnacentral:rRNA from 1 species
AACGCGAAGAACCUUACCUGGGCUCGAACGGCUUUGGAUCAUCCUUGGAAACAGGGACUUCUCGCAAGAGACCGGAGUCGAGGUGCUGCAUGGCUGUCGUCAGCUCGUGUCGUGAGAUGUUGGGUUAAGUCCCGCAACGAGCGCAACCCUUGUCCUGUGUUGCCAUCAUUUAGUUGGGCACUCUCAGGAGACCGCCAGCGAUAAGCUGGAGGAAGGUGGGGAUGAUGUCAAGUCAUCAUGGCCUUUAUGUCCAGGGCUACACACGUGCUACAAUGGACGGUACAAAGCGCUGCAAACCCGCGAGGGGGAGCCAAUCGCAAAAAACCGUUCUCAGUUCGGAUCGCAGGCUGCAACCCGCCUGCGUGAAGCUGGAAUCGCUAGUAAUGGUGUAUCAGAAUGAUACCGUGAAUACGUUCCCGGGCCUUGUACACACCGCGUGUCU